UACGGAGGGUGCAAGCGUUGUCCGGAUUUAUUGGGUUUAAAGGGUGCGUAGGCGGCUCAUUAAGUCAGCGGUGAAAGCCUCCAGCUCAACUGGAGAACUGCCAUUGAUACUGAUGAGCUUGAGUAUACUUGAGGUAGGCGGAAUUGACAGUGUAGCGGUGAAAUGCAUAGAUAUUGUCAAGAACACCAAUUGCGAAGGCAGCUUACUAAAUUAUAAACUGACGCUGAGGCACGAAAGUGUGGGUAUCAAACAGG
rnacentral:rRNA from 1 species